rnacentral:misc_RNA from 1 species
UUUCCGUAGGUGAACCUGCGGAAGGAUCAUUCAUAAUAAAGUGUUUUAUGGCACUUUUUAAAAAUCCAUAUCCACCUUGUGUGCAAUGUUAGAUCUCGUCAAUCUUGGCGAGAUUUUUAUACAUCAACUCAUCUUUAACUAAUUUGUCUGGAAAAUAUUAUGAAUACUUAAUUCAAAAUACAACUUUCAACAACGGAUCUCUUGGCUCUC